CGGGUGACCUCGGAGUCUUUGAACGCACGUUGCGCCCGAUGCCAUUAGGUUGAGGGCACGUCUGCCUGGGUGUCACAUAUCGAAGCCUCCUGCCAAUUUCCAUUUGACUAUUGUGCAGGGUGGAUGUUGGCCUCCCGUGAGCUCUUUCGCCUCAUGGUUGGUUGAAAAUUGAGACCUUGGUAGGGUGUGCCAUGAUAGAUGGUGGUUGUGUGACCCACGAGACCAAUCAUGCGCUGCUCUAUUGAAUUUGGCCUCUUUUACCCAUAUGCGUUUCUAAACGCUCGUGAUGAGACCUCAGGUCAGGCGGGGCUACCCGCUGAAUUUAAGCAUAUCAAUAAGCGGAGGAAAAGAAACUAACAAGGAUUCCCUUAGUAACGGCGAGCGAACCGGGAUAAGCCCACCAUGAGAAUCGAUCGCCCUCGGCGUUCGAAUUGUAGUUGAAAAAAACCGUCAAAAGG
rnacentral:rRNA from 1 species